CAGGCACAUACUGCAUGGUUGAAGAUGGAUUGGUAGCUCUAGAAAGUGUUGGCUACUGCAACUGGGGUGUCUCUGAAGCUUUUGUAGUUUCUGUUUGAGGAUCAUGGCUGCCUUGCUCAAUCAAUUGGUCAUGUUGUUCAGACACUUCAUUUGCUCAAGCAGUGUCCAAUAUUUUGGACCAUGCAAGGUGAUGAAGAUGGGUGUGAUAUGCAUCAGUACUUUCUCCUUCCUUUUGAUAUGCUUGAUAUACUGCUCAAAGUCUAUGUUUUCACAGAGCUUAAAAUACUUGAUGAGUGCUAGCUUUGCCUUUUCAUAAUCAUCACCAUUUCCAGUAUCAGGUAAUGUUUUAAAAAUCUGGUGAACUAAACUGCCUGCAAAAUGUAACAGCAUUGCCUGCUGGAUGGUGAGGUCAUUUCCCUUUAUCACAAGAAAUAGAUUUUCCAGUCUUUUAAACCGAUGGUCUCAUCUAGGUCCCACUAUAUAGAGUGGGAGUCAUGAAUAGCAAAUUUAGGAAAAGCAGGAAGCAUACUGAUAACAACAAAAGCAGAAGCUCAUAAAACUGGGAGAAGAACCAGUCACUGUUGGAAAAGUACGCUGUUCCACUGGAUAAAAGAAGCACUCAAAAUGGCUGCCACUCCACUCCUUCAGGCAGAGUGAAGAGACUAUACAGUAGAUAAGAUGGCUGCUGCACUCAAAAGCAGGAUACUACAAAAGCUUUGCGUUACACAGUAUGUUAUCGCUAUGAAGAAAAAUUCAGAAUUCCAAGUGAGGAACAGACAGACAGAAAUACCUGCUGCUGCACAUGUGUCGACACUUUCAACGAGCUGUCCACCACGACCCCAAGAUCCCUCUCCUGGUCAGUCACCGACAGCUCAGAUCCCAUCAACAUACACUUGAAGUUACUUGAAGAAGGGUGAGCCCUCAAGCUGGACCAGUUUGAUGGAGAACCAGCUUGAGGUCCAGCUGGAUCACACAUCCCUACCACCCUCCCCAGUGCUGCUCUCAGACCACCGAACUGGCUCAUGGUUGGGCUGAACCAGAACGGACUGCUUCACCAAACCACAAACUGGCUCAUUUUUGAAUUGCUGUAUGAACUGAAGUUCAGACUGUUGUAGGCGGAUUCUAAAUAAUUUUCUCUCACUCUACAUUCACAUCUUCUCAAGCAAGCUAUAAAGGAACGUGCAAACCUUCUAGCAAGGGCGAAGCUCAGUCAUGCUCUCUGCGCUGUUUCCCCCACCGGAGAGAAACACCAGCACCUUUUCUCCCCGCGAACCCAAGCCUCUCUCUACUACACUACAGCAAGCAUAUACCAGGCAAGGCUGGCUUGCUUAGUGUGUGUCUGUGUCACGUCGCCGCCUGCACCGCAGCUUGCAAAGGAGAUGGGUGGUGGUGUGUGUAGAAUACUUCCAGCCUGAGUCUGCAGUGUGCACAUUUACUCAGAAGUAAGCCCUACCGAUUUCAACAAGGCUUACUCCAUAGUAAGUUAUUGCAUGCAGAAGACCCCAGGUUCAAGCCCUGGCAGCAUCUCCAGGGAGGGCUGGGAAAGACUCCUGCCUGGAACUUUGGAGAGAUGCUGCCAGUCAGUGUAGUAGGCAAUAGUGAGGUUGAUGAACGGAUCAAGGGUCUCUGACUUGAUAUACAACUUCCUACACAGCCAAUGUAAAGUAGACCAUAGUUUCAAAGAGGUAACUGCAGAGGAAAGGAAAGAAAGGAAGAGAAAUAAAUAAAAAAGAAACAAAAAAAAGGGCAAGAGCAAAGGAAGAAGGAAUAAGGGGGGGGGACCUAGCGCCCGUUAUUAUAACGGGCUUAAAAAUACUAGUCUACUAUAAAAGGAGAGUCUGAUUAAUAGUUGCACUUAGAUUUUGUCUUUGUUGUUCUGAGCUACACAUACAUUAUUUUACUAAUGGAGAAAGGAAAAUAUCUCAGGGGUAAUUUAUUAACCACUUUCACCAAUGAGAUUUUAUCAGUGUAGAAUUUUUUUCACAGCGUGGUUUGGAGUUUGUUUGACUGUCCCAUCUUUAAGUUAUUGUAGUACUGUAGUAGAUGUCUUGCAUGGGUAAAGUUUGCAUGCUAUGUGUGCCCAGGGCUGCAGAUUCAUAUUAAAGUAUCUGAGGCAGCAUGACUGAGAAGCACCUAAGCCUGAGACUUUACAAGGGAUGCUGCUGUAAAGAGCUAGACUGAUGGAUACUCAUAUAUACUUCUAUUGCAGUGGUUAUUCAUGUAUAUACUGUUUCUAACCUAUCAAAUUGUUCAGUGUGAAGCCACAAAUUAAAAAAGCUUCAAAAAAGAAUUCUGUCAAACGUGGACUGUUCUAUAAUUUGAACAGUUGUUGAAUCAAUCAGCCUUUUCAUGAUAUGUAUCAUCAUAUCUUUUAACUUGUAUUCACUUUUAGUACUAAUAUGUAUUUGCAUAUCUAUUUUAACUUGUCUCUUUUUAAAUUGCAAUCAUCCUUAAUUUUAGCCUUUUUAUAAUAUGUAUCAUCAUAGCAGCAUCAUAUAACAUGUAAUUUUUAACUUGUCUUCAUUUUAAAUAUAAAUAUGUUUUAUGCUGGUCUAUGACCACAAAAAAGGUUGAUUGAUUGAUUGAUUGAUUAGAAUCAUUCAAUUUGUAUAGGUGUUGAAACCAGGAUGCACAUAGAUGUACAAUCCUAGAUCGUUUCACCUAGUCACCCUAAGUUGGAGAAAACAAUGAAUAAUGCAAAAUCCAGCUUGGUAACAGAAAUCUAAAGGAAGGGAGGGGUCCCUGGCUUCUCCAAGAUAGGGCUGAGAGAGAUUUGUGCCUGCAACCUUGGAGAAGCCACUGCCAAUCUGUGAAGACAAUACUGAGCUAGAUAGAAGGGUUUCUUAAACUUGGGCCCCCAGAUGUUGAUGGACUACA